rnacentral:rRNA from 1 species
UGGGGAAUAUUGCACAAUGGGGGGAACCCUGAUGCAGCCAUGCCGCGUGUAUGAAGAAGGCCUUAGGGUUGUAAAGUACUUUCGGUGGUGAGGAAGGGGUGUUAUCUAAUAGGUAUCAUCAUUGACGUUAACUACAGAAGAAGCACCGGCUAACUCCGUGCCAGCAGCCGCGGUAAUACGGAGGGUGCGAGCGUUAAUCGGAAUGACUGGGCGUAAAGGGCAUGUAGGCGGAUGAUUAAGUUAGGUGUGAAAGCCCCGGGCUCAACCUGGGAAUUGCACUUAAAACUGGUCGUCUGGAGUAUUGUAGAGGAAGGUAGAAUUCCACGUGUAGCGGUGAAAUGCGUAGAGAUGUGGAGGAAUACCGGUGGCGAAGGCGGCCUUCUGGACAGAUACUGACGCUGAGAUGCGAAAGCGUGGGGAGCAAACA